AUUGAACGCUGGCGGAAUGCUUUACACAUGCAAGUCGAACGGCAGCACGGACUUCGGUCUGGUGGCGAGUGGCGAACGGGUGAGUAAUGUAUCGGAACGUGCCCAGUCGUGGGGGAUAACGUAGUGAAAAUUACGCUAAUACCGCAUACGAUCUAUGGAUGAAAGCGGGGGAUCGCAAGACCUCGCGCGAUUGGAGCGGCCGAUAUCAGAUUAGGUAGUUGGUGGGGUAAAGGCCCACCAAGCCAACGAUCUGUAGCUGGUCUGAGGGGACGACCAGCCACACUGGAACUGAGACACGGUCCAGACUCCUACGGGAGGCAGCAGUGGGGAAUUUUGGACAAUGGGCGAAAGCCUGAUCCAUCCAUUCCGCGUGCAGGAUGAAGGCCCUCGGGUUGUAAACUGCUUUUGUACAGAACGAAAAGGUUUCUACUAAUACUAGGAGCUCAUGACGGUACUGUAAGAAUAAGCACCGGCUAACUACGUGCCAGCCGCCGCCGCGG
rnacentral:rRNA from 1 species